UAGAGGAAGUAAAAGUCGUAACAAGGUUUCCGUAGGUGAACCUGCGGAAGGAUCAUUAAAUGAAGCAACCUAGGAGCCUGAGAUAUGGCCACCGGGCACACCUUCCACCCUUUGUUUAUCACACUUUGUUGCUUUGGCAGGCCUGCCUCCGGGCUGCUGGCUCCGGCCGGCGAGCGCCUGCCAGAGGACCCAAACUCUGUUUGUCUGUAACGUCUGAGUACUAUAUAAUAGUUAAAACUUUCAACAACGGAUCUCUUGGUUCUGGCAUCGAUGAAGAACGCAGCGAAAUGCGAUAAGUAAUGUGAAUUGCAGAAUUCAGUGAAUCAUCGAAUCUUUGAACGCACAUUGCGCCCCCUGGUAUUCCGGGGGGCAUGCCUGUCCGAGCGUCAUUACAACCCUCAAGCCUAGCUUGGUGUUGGGCUCCGCCGCCUGGCGGGCCCUAAAGUCAGUGGCGGUGCCGUCCAGCUCCGAGCGUAGUAAUUCUUCUCGCUCUGGAGGCCUGGGCGCGUGCUUGCCAGCAACCCCCCAAUUUUAUCAGGUUGACCUCGGAUCAGGUAGGGAUACCCGCUGAACUUAAGCAUA
rnacentral:rRNA from 1 species